CCUCCAGCAAGAUUUGAAUAUAUCUUGUCCCCUUAGCGGUCCUUUUUGUCAGGUGCCAGCCAGGUACCUGAGCUUCUUAACCCUUUACAGGUAAAGGAGGAAUUA